ACGGCUUAGUAAAAGGACCAGGAGGCGUGAGCACCGUACCAUCUACCUGCCUUCAACGCCAGCCAGCCAGCCAUCGGAACCAGAAAACAACAACUAAACAGUACCGACAAACCGACAGAGCACCGCCUUCGACGCCGCCGCUAGACAGUCGCAGAUGGGUUGUCGUUUGCCGGAAAUAGUCAGCAGCGAAAAGCAGUUCUUCGCUUCUCCUUUUCUAGGACUUUGAAUCCGAUAAAUGGAUAGUUUUGAGAACCAGGAAGGAAGAAGAGCCUAAAAUCGAAUACACAUCAAUUCCAUAGGAGCUCCUUGUUGAAUUCAGCAAAAACCUAUGAUAAUUUUGUUACUAUAUAGUGAUCCUAUUUCUCCAUAAUCUUCCGAUUCCAUCAACCAUAUAAUGGAAGAACUGAAACACUACACGAAAACAAGCAUCCAAUGGUCUGUCAACGUACAAAUACCAACACGAUCCACAAGAGGUCAUAUCUCUAAUCCUUUCCACAAGAGUUGUUAAGCAAUUCGUAUCCCGUUGUUGAAGGAAUGCAGAUUGGACGUAUGCAGAUGCUGCGUGCUUCACAAGAACAUUCUUUAUAGAAAUGUUUGAAGAAUUGAUGAAUUGAUUGUCGUCGGUGCUCAUCACAUGGAAAUUCGACGAAGAAUUUGGUAAUACAUCCUUCAAGCUUAUAUACCCACGGUAAUCAAUCUCUGGAUCAUCUUUACUUAUGUUUGAAUCAGUUUGUUUUAUUAACUUGAACGAUCGAAUUUGCUUUAACUUUUGGGCUUCUGGAUCCAUGACGAUGAUUAGAUGCCUUUUCUGUUAAGAAUUUUGAAAGGAUUGGAGGUCUUUUGAGUUCAUGUUUUUUUGUAAAACGAUCAAAGUUUUGAUCUUAGUUUUUGAGGUCAAUCGGUUUCGUUGUGUUUUCAGAAGAGAAUGUAGUUUUGUUGGUCGGUUAAAAAAUUUGUGAUGGUCCUUCGAAGUUGGAUCAUCACAAGAGUAGGAAUCGAUUGAUCUUUCAAGAUUGUUUUAUUGGAUAAUUGGAUAAUCAAUGAUACCCAAAUUAAGUUAGAACCAUAAACCGUAAUGUUUGG